rnacentral:misc_RNA from 1 species
AGCUGAACGAAGGUAAACAGAAACAUUUGAACCUGAACCUAGUCUGACAAACUCCACCGGCGUCUAACAACCCAAAGUGGAGUGCAAAGAGAAACAAUUUAGAAGUAAUAUACAAGAGAAAACUGAACUUGAUAACUAACUAAAACUUCCAAGGAAGACCUACUUGUAAUGUUCUAAGACGGAAUUGAAUCAGCAAAACUACCUGAACUUCAUUCGCUUAGAACCAGCAGAACUUGGACCGGAUCGGGACUUGCCAAAGUUCUUCUUUCUCCUCCUCUCAUCCUCACUGUCAGGUUCAUCUCCUUUCUCCCUAUCUGCGUUGCUUGCCUCCUUCUCCAACUCUUCCCAUGUUUUGCCUUUUUCUUCCUCCGAGUCUUCAUCUGAGUCUUCCUCUUCUUCCUCGGAAUCCACCAGAGAUUCACUAUCAGAGGCUUCGUCUUCUGAAUCUGACUCAGGUUCAGCGUCUGAGGGUUCAUAGCCUUGGUCUGACUCCUCCGAAUUUUCAGAUUCUGA